GGGGAAUGGCGGAGUGGUCAGACUACCCUCCUCUGAAUCAUAAGGUCCCGGGUUCGAUU
rnacentral:tRNA from 11 species